UUCAGAUUUAAAAAAUUCGUCAAAAUUAUCUGUAAAAUGAGUCAAAAUCGUUUUGCUAAUUUCUUGAAAUUUUUCAAAAAAAACAAUCCAAAACUAACUCCACUUGAACUUAUUAAAAGUGGAGGAGAGAUGUGGGUUAAUCUAAAGGAUAUCGAGAAAGAAAAAUUCUCUCCAUGUAAGCCUGAGAUUAAUAUUAGUGAUGAUUCGUUAGAUGUUUUCUUUCCCGUUGAAAAAAAUCUAACGAAAAUUGGCAAAAAACGGAAAGCCGCUAAAAGGAAGGGAGCGGUAAACAGGCGUCGCGCUAAGAAAAAGAAACUAGACCGUCGUGGACAAAAAAAGAACCGUGCAAAAAAACGCCCGAAAAAACGUGGAAAGAAGCGUUGAGGUCCAUAACCCGUCGAUGCAACAAAUAUCAUUUUCUUGAUGAAAUGAUGAUGUUUUUUUGAUGAUGUUUUAAUGGUUUUAUGGUGUGAUGGCCUAUGGUUUAACGAUGUUAGUAUACAACUUGUUCACAAGUUGUACUUAAAUGGACUCUGUCCGAUAAAAAAUCCUGACAACACAAUGAGAAAAGGAGGGAUCUGCUUACAAUGUUUGUAUUUAUAUAACUUUCGUUAAGUUCAGCUCUGGUAAAGAUUCUGGAUUUGAAGAGGUAUCUGAUUUUAUUGGAUUUCGACAUCUAAUUAUAUGAAAAAAAUUUAUGAUUUUGGUUUUAAAACUAAUAAAACUAUA